rnacentral:rRNA from 1 species
GAUGAACGCUGGCGGCGUGCCUAAUACAUGCAAGUCGAGCGAACAGACGAGGAGCUUGCUCCUCUGACGUUAGCGGCGGACGGGUGAGUAACACGUGGAUAACCUACCUAUAAGACUGGGAUAACUUCGGGAAACCGGAGCUAAUACCGGAUAAUAUAUUGAACCGCAUGGUUCAAUAGUGAAAGACGGUUUUGCUGUCACUUAUAGAUGGAUCCGCGCCGCAUUAGCUAGUUGGUAAGGUAACGGCUUACCAAGGCAACGAUGUGUAGCCGACCUGAGAGGGUGAUCGGCCACACUGGAACUGAGACACGGUCCAGACUCCUACGGGAGGCAGCAGUAGGGAAUCUUCCGCAAUGGGCGAAAGCCUGACGGAGCAACGCCGCGUGAGUGAUGAAGGUCUUCGGAUCGUAAAACUCUGUUAUUAGGGAAGAACAAAUGUGUAAGUAACUAUGCACGUCUUGACGGUACCUAAUCAGAAAACCACGGCUAACUACGUG